UAGGGAAUCUUCGGCAAUGGACGAAAGUCUGACCGAGCAACGCCGCGUGAGUGAAGAAGGUUUUCGGAUCGUAAAACUCGGUUGUUAGAGAAGAACAAGGACGUUAGUAACUGAACGUCCCCUGACGGUAUCUAACCAGAAAGCCACGGCUAACUACGUGCCAGCAGCCGCGGUAAUACGUAGGUGGCAAGCGUUGUCCGGAUUUAUUGGGCGUAAAGCGAGCGCAGGCGGUUUCUUAAGUCUGAUGUGAAAGCCCCCGGCUCAACCGGGGAGGGUCAUUGGAAACUGGGAGACUUGAGUGCAGAAGAGGAGAGUGGAAUUCCAUGUGUAGCGGUGAAAUGCGUAGAUAUAUGGAGGAACACCAGUGGCGAAGGCGGCUCUCUGGUCUGUAACUGACGCUGAGGCUCGAAAGCGUGGGGAGCAAACAGG
rnacentral:rRNA from 1 species